rnacentral:sRNA from 1 species
AUGUUCCACUCGUACACUUCGGCUCUGAGUACGCAGUCCAAGCCCGCCUGGCGGCUGCUCGCCAGGUUUUGUCGGCC